GGUUGAUCCUGCCAGUAGUCAUAUGCUUGUCCCAAAGAUUAAGCCAUGCAUGUCUAAGUAUAAACAAAUCUAUACAGUGAAACUGCGAAUGGCUCAUUAUAUCAGUUAUAAUUUAUUUGAUAGUCUCUUUACUACUCGGAUAACCGUGGUAAUUCUAGAGCUAAUACGUGCAUAAAGCCUGACUAAUUCGUUGGAAGGGCUGUAUUUAUUAGAUAAAAAACCAAUGCCAGUCAAAUGGCUCCUUGGUGAUUCAUAAUAACUUUACGGAUCGUAUGGCCUUGCGCCGACGACAU
rnacentral:rRNA from 1 species